rnacentral:tRNA from 1 species
UGCUUGAAAGCGAUUACGCACCAAGUUUCGGCCUUGGCCCUGGGAAACUUCCCUCAAGUAU